rnacentral:tRNA from 1 species
AGGGGUAUAGCUCAGUUGGUAGAGCAGUGGACUCCAAAUCCAUGUGCCACAGGUUCAAAUCCUGUUACCCUUG